UCAUAUUUCCCUCCUCUAAACCCCAGUUGAUAGUGCUGUGUGAACGCCAGCGCUUCCUCGCCACUUAUUCCUAGAAAAAAUAUAUAUAUAAAAAAUAUAUAUAUUUUUUAAACCUUAACAUAUAUAUUUUUUAACCAACUCGUUGAAGCAGGAGUUGAUAUUCGAACUGAAGUGGAACGACGAGAAUGUUACGCUGCGUUUCUCUGGUUACUGUUACCAUCUGCAACGGGAAAAGCAAGCAAGGACAUGUUGAUUUCAAGCUCUAUUUUGUCAAUUAUAUAGACAUUUUAAACAACAUAUACGUAACGUACUGGUCGUAUUUUAAACGUUUCAAAUAUUUAUCUUCUAAAUUGAAACUUCAUUAGAACUUGUCAAGCUUGUUAAACUUUGCUAGCCAGCUGGUUUAGAUUCAACCCUCGAGUUAGCGUAACCAGACCCUUUUUAAAUUACGAACAAUUUCGUCUGAAAGGUAACAUUUUUUUUGUCGGAUUUCGUUACGAAAAUGAACCCCGGUGCUCCUACUUACCCCAUGGCAUCCCUGUAUGUCGGUGAUCUUCAUCAAGAUGUGACCGAAGCUCUGCUAUACGAAAAAUUCAGCCCCGCCGGGGCCAUCCUUUCCAUCCGGGUCUGCAGGGAUAUGAUCACCCGUCGUUCCCUCGGGUACGCCUAUGUCAACUUCCAACAGCCAGCUGAUGCUGAGAGGGCUCUAGACACCAUGAACUUUGACGUGAUCAAGGGUCGUCCUGUCCGCAUCAUGUGGUCUCAGCGUGACCCAUCCCUGAGGAAGAGCGGGGUGGGCAACAUCUUCAUCAAGAACCUAGACAAAUCUAUUGACAACAAGGCCCUCUACGACACCUUUUCUGCCUUCGGCAACAUCCUGUCCUGCAAGGUGGUUUGUGAUGAGAAUGGCUCAAAGGGGUAUGGCUUUGUGCAUUUUGAGACCCAGGAGGCGGCUGAAAGAGCCAUUGAGAAAAUGAACGGCAUGCUGCUCAAUGACAGGAAAGUGUUUGUGGGACGAUUCAAAUCUCGCAAAGAACGUGAGGCUGAGCUUGGUGCCCGGGCCAAAGAGUUCACCAACGUUUACAUCAAGAACUUUGGUGAAGAUAUGGAUGAUGAGAAACUGAGGGAGAUCUUCAGCAAGUAUGCCGAGUAUGGCAGUGCCAUGAGUAUCCGUGUCAUGACUGAUGACAGUGGCAAAUCCAGAGGCUUUGGCUUUGUGAGCUUCGAGAGGCACGAGGACGCCCAAAAGGCUGUUGAUGAGAUGAAUGGGAAGGAGCUGAAUGGAAAGCUCAUCUACGUGGGCCGCGCCCAGAAGAAGGUGGAGCGUCAGACGGAGCUGAAACGCAAGUUUGAACAGAUGAAACAGGAUCGCAUGACGCGCUACCAGGGUGUCAAUCUCUACGUGAAGAAUCUUGACGAUGGAAUUGAUGACGAGCGCUUGCGUAAAGAAUUCUCCCCAUUCGGCACCAUCACCAGUGCCAAGGUGAUGAUGGAGGGUGGUCGCAGCAAGGGCUUCGGCUUUGUGUGCUUCUCCUCCCCGGAGGAGGCCACCAAGGCCGUGACGGAGAUGAACGGGCGCAUCGUGGCCACCAAGCCGCUGUACGUGGCGCUGGCUCAGAGGAAAGAGGAGCGUCAGGCUCACCUCACCAACCAGUACAUGCAGAGGAUGGCCACCGUCCGGCCCGUACCCAACCCAGUCCUCAACCCCUACCAGCCUGCCCCUCCUUCUGGGUACUUCAUGGCUGCCAUCCCACAGGCUCAUAACAGAGCUGCUUACUACCCUGCCAACCAGAUAGCCCAGCUGAGACCCAGCCCUCGCUGGGCCACCCAGGGUGUGAGACCUCAACACUUCCAGAACAUGCCAGGCUCCAUACGUCCUUCCACACCCAGACAGCCCAGCUUCAGCCCUAUGAGGCCAACCAACCAGGUGCCUCGCAUGAUGUCCACGCGAAGCGUGGGCCCCCAGACCAUGGGGCCCCGCGCCCCUUCGGCCCCAGUGGGUGGAGCCCCGGUGCGUGGCGUGCCUCAGUAUAAGUACGCCACCGGAGUCCGCAACCCACAGAACCACGUUAACUCACAGCCCCAAGUCACUAUGCAGCAGCCUGCUGUCCAUGUGCAGGGCCAGGACCCUCUGACUGCCUCCAUGCUGGCCGCUGCACCACCUCAGGAACAGAAGCAGAUGUUGGGUGAGCGCUUGUUCCCGUGCAUCCAGAACAUGCACCCCAGCCUGGCUGGGAAGAUCACUGGCAUGCUGCUAGAGAUAGACAACUCUGAACUGCUUCACAUGCUGGAGUCUCCCGAGUCUCUCCGCUCUAAGGUGGAUGAGGCUGUGGCUGUGCUGCAGGCCCACCAGGCCAAGGAAUUAGUCCAGAAGACUGUCCCCAACUCUGCUGGUGGUCCGAGUGUCUGAGCCCAGGUAGGCCGAGUGUCUGAGCCCAGGUAGGCCGGGUGUCUGAGCCCAGGUAGGCCGGGUGUCUGAGCCCAGGGAUGGGGAACCUUGGAACUUCAUCUUUUAAAAAAUGAUAAUUCUGAUGAAACUUUGGAAAAAGUUAACACCAAAACAAUGCAAAAAGAGAACCUGUUCUAAAAAGGCAAGUCUUCUUUCAGCCAGGCCUAGAGAAGAGCACACUGGCUUUAGAAAAAGUUUCAAAAUAAACAUUUAAAGUGUUUUAGAAGAGAAUUCCAUAUGAUGGAAUGAGGGCUUCCAGAAAGUGUUCCCUUCUGGUGUUUUAUUCCUUUUAGAUGUAUCAAUGUUUGGGGUGUACGUGGCCAGGAUGUUGAAUAACCAGCGUUGUGAAAUGUACCUUUACCUUUGUUUGCUUGAAUUAAACUUCUUAAAGGAUU